GGGAGCCUGAUAACAGCUGUGACUAUGGACAAAGCGUUUGUGGUGUGUGGAGAUGUGAAGGGUAACAUGUGGUUCAGUCAGCCUCCCGAGUUUUCAUCGUGGAGCAGCAGAAAACCUGCGCAUAGUGACAAGAUCACUGCGCUGAGAAUCACUGCCAGCACCAUCAUCUCAGCUUCCUACGACAGAACAGUGAAGCUGUGGGACAGAAACACCAAGAA